UGCGUAGGGGGCAAGCGUUAUCCGGAUUUACUGGGUGUAAAGGGAGCGUAGACGGCGAUGCAAGCCAGAUGUGAAAGCCCGGGGCUCAACCCCGGGACUGCAUUUGGAACUGUAUAGCUAGAGUGUCGGAGAGGCAGGCGGAAUUCCUAGUGUAGCGGUGAAAUGCGUAGAUAUUAGGAGGAACACCAGUGGCGAAGGCGGCCUGCUGGACGAUGACUGACGUUGAGGCUCGAAAGCGUGGGGAGCAAACAGG
rnacentral:rRNA from 1 species